AAUCAACGCCGGCGGCGUGCCUAACACAUGCAAGUCGAACGAGAAAGUGGAGCAAUCCAUGAGUAAAGUGGCGCACGGGUGAGUAACACGUGACUAACCUACCCUUGAGUGGGGGAUAACCUAGGGAAACCUGGGCUAAUACCGCAUAAUACCUACGGGUCAAAGGAGCAAUUCGCUUUAGGAGGGGGUCGCGGCAGAUUAGUUAGUUGGCGGGGUAAGUGCCCACCAAGACGAUGAUCUGAUCCGGCCUGAGA
rnacentral:rRNA from 1 species